CGAAGACAACUAGGAUGUUGGCUCAGAAGCAGCCAUACAUUCAAAGAGUGCGUAACAGCUCACUAGUCGAGAGUUCCUGCGCCGAAAAUGUCCGGGGCUGAAACACGACACCGAAGCCGUGGACUCGCAAUGCGAGUGGUAGAGGAGCAUUCUUAAAACCGACGAAGCUGUACCGGAAGGAGCAGUGGAGGGAUAAGAAGAGAGAAUGCCGGAAUGAGUAGCGAGAGAAAGGUGGGAAUCCUUUCGGCCGAAUAUCUAAGGUUUCCAGAGUAAAGCUGAUCUGCUCUGGGUAAGUCGGGGCCUAAGCACAGGUCGCAAGACGUAAGCGAUGGAUAACAGGUUUAGAUUCCUGUACCACGCAUUAUCAGAACUGUAGGGACGCAUGUGGAAAGCACGGGCCGGGAAUGGAAAGACCGGUACAAGCGGGGUAGGAGUACAAUAGGCAAAUCCGUUGUAUGAUCCGAAGACGUGAUGUGGAGCGAAAUAAAGUAGUGAAGCGUGUGAGCCAUGUGCCGAGAAAAGCUGCUAUUGUGUAAUGCGUGCCCGUACCGUAAACCGACACAGGUGGAUGAGGAGAGAAUCCUAAGGCCGACGGAAGAAGCAUUGUUAAGGAAUUCGGCAAAAUGACCCCGUAACUUCGGGAGAAGGGGUGCCUGCGAGAGCAGGCCGCAGAGAAUAGGCUCAAGCAACUGUUUAGCAAAAACACAGGUCUAUGCGAAACCGAAAGGUGAAGUAUAUGGGCUGACGCCUGCCCGGUGCUGGAAGGUUAAGAGGAGAGGUUAGCGUAAGCGAAGCUUUGAAUUUAAGCCCCAGUAAACGGCGGCCGUAACUAUAACGGUCCUAAGGUAGCGAAAUUCCUUGUCGGGUAAGUUCCGACCCGCACGAAAGGCGUAAUGAUUUGAGCACUGUCUCGACAAUGCAUCCGGUGAAAUUGAAGUACCAGUGAAGAUGCUGGUUACCCGCGCCAGGACGGAAAGACCCCAUGGAGCUUUACUCCAGUUUGAUACUGGGAUUCGGUACUGCAUGUACAGGAUAGGUGGGAGACGAAGAAGGAUGGACGCCAGUCUGUCCGGAGUCGCUGUUGGGAUACCACCCCUGUAGUACUGGGUUUCUAACCAGUUGCCAUGAACUGGCAAUGGGACAAUGUCAGGCGGGGAGUUUGACUGGGGCGGUCGCCUCCGAAAGGGUAUCGGAGGCGCUCAAAGGUUCCCUCAGAAUGGUUGGAAACCAUUUGAAGAGUGCAAAGGCAGAAGGGAGCUUGACUGCGACACCGACGGGUGGAGCAGGUACGAAAGUAGGACUUAGUGAUCCGGUGGUAUAAAGUGGGAUUGCCAUCGCUCAACGGAUAAAAGCUACCCUGGGGAUAACAGGCUU
rnacentral:rRNA from 1 species